rnacentral:rRNA from 1 species
UACGUAGGGGGCGAGCGUUGUCCGGAUUUAUUGGGCGUAAAGAGCGUGUAGGCGGCUCGGUAAGUCCGCUCUGAAAGCCCGGGGCUCAACCCCGGGAGGCGGGCGGAUACUGGCGGGCUAGAGUCCGGAAGAGGCGAGUGGAAUUCCAGGUGUAGCGGUGAAAUGCGCAGAUAUCAGGAGGAACACCAAUGGCGAAGGCAGCUCGCUGGGACGGUACUGACGCUGAGACGCGAAAGCGUGGGGAGCAAACAGG